CCAAAGCGAGAGGCUUUUACUAAAAUAAACAGCCCUGUUUGCCAAGAAAAAGCUCCCUGGGGGAACAGGCGCAGAGAAAGGUUGGCUUUCGGGGCAGGAAGUGGAGUGAUGGCAACAGUUUAACCAAGAAACUAAAAAGAUGUUGGAGGUUUUUCCAGUAUAUAUUUUUUUUAUUUCCUCGAAGAACCGGAGUUUUUAGUUUCUCUCGUCUCCAGUUGUACGUCCGUACGAAGCUUGUCACAUCACCGUUUCAAUUUCUUUGUCAGCUGUUGCCACUCCCCUGCUCCACAGAGAGCCAGCAGCCUCAACGAUUCCUCUCGCCAUCCUUCAGUUUGGCCGCCAUCCAGCAGAGGGCGCCGCUGGUCGUCCUUAAGCGCAGCUAGGAAGAAAGAUGGCGGCGCAAAACCAGAGAGGGAAAGAGGAACGGUCCAAACCUAUGGUCCAAACAGAGUCCGAUGCCGUUAUGGCGUAGAGAGAGUGAGCUGGAUUCUCCCAAGGAUUGCUCUUCGGAGAGGCCGCGGUUUAUUACAAAUGGGAAAGCUUUCAUUGCAGAUUGCUCCGGCGCAGCGCAGAGGUACGUGACCCAUCUAGGCCGCGCCGGGGGUUGACUUUAUGGCUCUGAAUUCACUCAAAAAGUGAGCAGAGCUGAAUUUAAAUGUGUAUGUUUGUGUUUGUUUAUGGACAUCCACAUUUAAAUUGUGUGUGGGAAAUGUUUUAACAAAUGGCUAGUCAUAAGCAAAAGAGUGAAUCCUUGUUAGCUGGAAUAAAAGUCUAAGUCUCAAUGUAACCAUUCACCGAGUUUAUUUUGGUUGUACUCGUUAAAUGCUUGACUUUCUGUAUAUACAGAACAAAAGAUUCAUUUUGGCAAGAAAAUAAAAUGUUUUUGCUUUGAUAACUGUAAUAAUGCUAAAGAAACAAUUCAUUUUUUGCCAUGUUCUAUAAUCUUCAAAUAUGCUGACAAAUAGCUAUCAUAAUCAAUCAUAGUGAUCAGUUUUUAUAGCAAACAGAACAAUGAAACUGAAAUUGUUUGUUUAGAAAGUAGUUAAUCCAACAGCUAUUGGAUGAAUAGUCAGGUUGUGUUUUAUGCUGUGUAGAUCAGUGUUUUCUGACUGUGUUCUGACUUUACCACACUGCUUGUUUUGCUUCAUGUUUUAGACGUUUCACUGCUUAUUAAGCAAACCUGAUUCAGAUUGAUGACUAAUA